GACGAACGCUGGCGGCGUGCUUAACACAUGCAAGUCGAACGGAAAGGCCCUGCUUUUGUGGGGUGCUCGAGUGGCGAACGGGUGAGUAACACGUUAGUAACCUGCCCUUUACUUAGGGAUAACUUCAGGAAACUGGGGCUAAUACCUGAUAGGAGCUCCUACUGCAUGGUGGGGGUUGGAAAGUUUCGGCGGUUGGGGGUGGACUCGCGGCUUAUCAGCUUGUUGGUGGGGUAGUGGCUUACCAAGGCUUUGACGGGUAGCCGGCCUGAGAGGGUGACCGGCCACAUUGGGACUGAGAUACGGCCCAGACUCCUACGGGAGGCAGCAGUGGGGAAUAUUGCACAAUGGGCGGAAGCCUGAUGCAGCAACGCCGCGUGCGGGAUGACGGCCUUCGGGUUGUAAACCGCUUUCGCCUGUGACGAAGCGUGAGUGACGGUAAUGGGUAAAGAAGCACCGGCUAACUACGUG
rnacentral:rRNA from 1 species